rnacentral:rRNA from 1 species
AAUUUGCAGAGGAUGCUUCGGGAGCGNNNCCCAUCUAAGUGCCCUGGAACGGGCCGUCAUAGAGGGUGAAAAUCCCGUCUGGGAUGGGGUGUCCGCGCCCGUGUGAAGCUCCUUCGACGAGUCGAGUUGUUUGGGAAUGCAGCUCUAAAUGGGUGGUAAAUUUCAUCUAAAGCUAAAUAUUGGCCGGAGACCGAUAGCGCACAAGUAGAGUGAUCGAAAGAUGAAAAGCACUUUGAAAAGAGAGUUAAACAGCACGUGAAAUUGUUGAAAGGGAAGCGCUUGCNACCAGACUCGCCCACGGGGUUCAGCCGGCAUUCGUGCCGGUGUACUUCCCCGCGGGCGGGCCAGCGU